rnacentral:sRNA from 1 species
CGGUCCCUCGCCGCGCCACCCCGAGGGGCACUUCCGGCGGCGGUUCACUUCCUGGUUGGGUGGAUGGAGCCGGGCGGGAGCGCGCGCGGGGGAGGGGCGGCAGGUCAGUCUCCGCCCGGCGCUCCCGGGAUCAGCUGGCGGGCGGGCGGGAGCCGAGCGCGGCCCCGGCUCUCGCUGCAGCGCCGCCUCUUCUCUGCGUCGCAGGCCGGCCCGGCGGCCGUGACAAUGUCGCGGGGCUGGUAGCAGGGCGCCGGCCGCCGAGCCGUCUCAAGUUUAAACUUACACGAAUCGCUUUCUGGAGGAGGAGGGGACCCGCCGCGCGAUUGACACGCAUAUUCCUAUAGGCAUCCUCCCUCAGCCCCCACCCCCACGGCCGGAUUCGGGUGGCUCCUCUCCGAGGUGAAAUCCGAGAAGAAAUCCUUGGAUCUCUUUUCUUUUAAAAAAAAAAAAAAAA